rnacentral:rRNA from 1 species
UACAGAGGUCUCAAGCGUUGUUCGGAUUCAUUGGGCGUAAAGGGUGCGUAGGCGGCGCGGUAAGUCGGGUGUGAAAUCUCGGAGCUUAACUCCGAAACUGCAUUUGAUACUGCGGUGCUUGAGGACGGGAGAGGAGACUGGAAUUUACGGUGUAGCAGUGAAAUGCGUAGAGAUCGUAAGGAAGACCAGUGGCGAAGGCGGGUCUCUGGACAGUUCCUGACGCUGAGGCACGAAGGCCAGGGGAGCAAACGGG